UUCGGUGUGUGAAGAAAAAAGGAAAACAUUCCUUGUCAAGUGAUCAGUGAUGAUUUUUUUCACCAUCUUUCGGCUGAUGUUGAA
rnacentral:snoRNA from 11 species